rnacentral:tRNA from 1 species
GCCCUCGUAGUUCAAUGGAUAGAACUCCUCACUCCUAACGAGGUAAUCGAGGUUCGAUUCCUCGCGAGGGCA